rnacentral:rRNA from 1 species
UACGGGAGGCAGCAUGGGGGAAUAUUGCACAAUGGGGGAAACCCUGAUGCAGCCAUGCCGCGUGUGUGAAGAAGGCCUUCGGGUUGUAAAGCACUUUUCAGUAGGGAGGAAGGUAGUGUAGUUAACACCUGCACUAUUUGACGUUACCUACAGAAGAAGCACCGGCUAACUCCGUGCCAGCAGCCGCGGUAAUACGGAGGGUGCGAGCGUUAAUCGGAAUUACUGGGCGUAAAGCGCAUGCAGGCGGCCUGUUAAGUCAGAUGUGAAAGCCCGGGGCUUAACCUCGGAAUUGCAUUUGAAACUGGCAGGCUAGAGUCUUGUAGAGGGGGUAGAAUUUCAGGUGUAGCGGUGAAAUGCGUAGAGAUCUGAAGGAAUACCAGUGGCGAAGGCGGCCCCCCUGGACAAAGACUGACGCUCAGAUGCGAAAGCGUGGGGAGCAAACAGGAUUAGAUACCCCUGGUAG